GCCACCUUGUGAAGGAGGUUGUCUUGCUUCCCCUUUGCCUUCCGCCAUGAUUGUGAGUUUCCUGAGACCUUCUGAGCCAGGAUGAACUGCAGAAAAAUAAAUGGGAUGACUUUUGCAUCUUUUUUCCUUCAUCGGCCUCUGUUGGAUGUCAUGAUAUUUGGAAGUAAAAUGACUAAGUGGCAGAAAGAUUCAAGGAGGAUAUCACUGGUUGACAAGAUCAACAAUUUCCCUGAACGGUGUAGCAGGAAGGACUUCAGCAGAGCCAACAAGGAAUUCUCAAAAGUAAACUAAGUACCUGGACCCCCAAAGCCCCAGCAAUGGACACAGGACACCAUUCUUGCGCUUCCUUCCCACCACAGACACAGGUAAUUUCAAGCAGAUGCUUGGGAAGCUUGGGAAGGACACUGGUAUUAGGCAAGCAGGCUCAAGCCUGGUUCCACCAAUUGUGAGGUGUGGAACCUGGGCCAUAACUUUAACUUCUCCUAUUUUCAAGGGUUAGAUUAGCUGUCUUCAGAAGUCCCUUCUAAUGCCUCUAAUCACCUCUGAGCCUUGAUGUCCUCAACUUUAAAAUGAGAUCACAUUAUCUCAUUUCCAAGAAAGCUGCCUGUGCUUUUGAAGCAGGAAAUUUCCCUGACACCGUUGCAGGUGGGAACUGCAGUGCACGGGUGCUGGAUCUAGCUGGCCGCUUUGUCACUGGCAGGGGCAAACUCCACUCACUUGGACCCGUUGCACUUCACCCCUUGCAGAAGGGAGUCCACAGGUGAGCAGGUACAGGAGCCAGGGUGAGUGCUUCUGGGCAUCAGCUGGAGUGAACUCCGUGCAGAGUCCUGAGGCAGUGUCUAGUGGGUGCCCAU
rnacentral:lncRNA from 10 species